UGAGCUAAUUUCAUUGUCAACAAGUCGCUUGACAUACAUGUUGAGUGAAGCAGAAGAUGUCUCAGAAGCAUCCUUAGGAAGAGUAUGGAGGAUCUUCUCCAUUAUGGAUGUGCACUUAGCAGCAUGAAUCUCUUGCUUAGAAAGACGCCUCCUCGGAUACGGGACAUGAGGAGUGUAGACAGACUCGGGCAGCAUAGGUAUUUGCACCUCAUAAGGUGUUGUCCGGAUCCAGUGUCGAUCGACACUAGAGGGGUAUCGAUCGACACCGUCGUAUUGAGUCGUCUCUGAGAAUAGCGUCCCAUAUGGUGCCGAUCAACACAGGAGGGUGUCGGUCGACACCAUCUCUGCAACUGCGAGCUCCAACUCGUCUUCAGUGUCCAAUUCCUCCCACACAUCAUCUCCUUCUCUGAUCAAGAUGGCAUUGCGGCUCUUCCUUGGGUUAGCAUCAGGAUUACCAGGAAGAAAACCCUCUUGUCUCUUGAUAGAUUGUGCAGUUUGAGCUUCUUGUACAUCUAGCUUCUUCAAGUGAGAGCUCUGAUUAUCGAUCUUCCCAUUAAGAUCUGUGUAGACAGCAUCAAACUUGCCAUUAAACUCCACAACAAGCUUAGUCUGGCUCUCUAGAAUCUGCUCAAGCAUCGAUUCCAUUCUUGUCUCUACUAAGGGUGGAGGGGGGGCUUGGUAAGUUGAAUUACCAUAGUUCCUUUGAAAGAUGCUUUGAGGAAAGGUCUUUUGGAAAGCAGGCUUUGGAGUGUAGUUGAAGGAACCCUAGUUCCCUGUAAACCUGUUGCCACUGAAGUUGCCCUGUGGCUGCCCAAACUUCCUGUAUCCCUGACCAUCUAUGUAGAAGACUCCUUCUUCUGACUCAGGCUCAGGCUCAAUAGUUUCUUCUUUAGCUGCAAAGUGGACAUGCUUCUUCCCUGUGAGCAAGUUAUGAACUGAAUCUAGCUUAGCAUUCACCUCUGCCAUCUGAUUUCCUGAAAUAGCUCCAGCAAUCUUCUUCCUCUCAAAAUCAGCAUUCUUGGUACUGUUGCUGCAAGCGAGGUUCUAUAUAAGGGUUGUAGCAUCAGCUGGGUAACGUGUAUUGAAGUUACCAUUGCUCGCUGCAUCUAGAGCCAUCUGGUAUCUCCAAUUAACUCCUCUAAAGAAGGUACC
rnacentral:sRNA from 1 species